UCCAAUCAGUCUGAUUAUUUGAGUGAUUUGGACGAGAAAAUCUUGGUCCCGGAAUGCGUGAUGCCGGACGAGGUAUUCCACUUCCGGCACCAGACAUUCUAGUGGGAACACUCCAGUUAGUCGGAGCUCUCAAUCUUGUCUUACUCUCCAGCCCGUUAAUAGACGGUUUUCACGCACCAGCUGUUCCCACAGGUUGAGUGGAAGAACUAACAGGACUCAAAAUUGGCGAGCUUGUUUUAACGGUAUGCGAUGCAGUAAUAUCAGGAUUGCGUUGAUUAGAUGCACCUUUCAGUAUUGGAGAUGAUACAUCACCAAACAUGCUGGUCUUCAUCAUUGACUCUGUGAGGAUUUGAGAAUCUACAAUGCUUUCUCCGUGUGGCAAAGAUUCUUUAGAUGUAUCUGCAAGAGACGAACUCAGAUCUGAAGCAAAGUGAAGAUGAAAACAAAAAGUUGCCAGAAUAUCACAUUCGUGAUGGAGACUUACUUGAGGAUUAGAGCCUUCUAUUGUCGGAGAGGGUCUUUGCCACACAUUUUCAACUGAAGGUGAUAAUGCUUCUAUAAUUGAUUCAAAGCUUAGCCUAUUACUUCGUUUUUUUGGUCUGGUAAAUGUUCUUGUAUCUAUAGAUUUUCUUGUACCUAAGAAUUAACAAAAGAUGGAUUGUUUGCCAUUUGUGAAAAAUAAAAAUAACUGAUAUAUUUAGCAGUGCAAUACAUGAAA